GCUGAGAUAGCUCACUUGGUAGAGCAUGAGACUCUUAGUCUCGUGGGCAUGGGUUUGAGCCCCAUGUUGGGCA